rnacentral:rRNA from 1 species
UACGUAGGGUGCGAGCGUUGUCCGGAAUUAUUGGGCGUAAAGAGCUCGUAGGCGGUUUUGUUGCGUCUAUCGUGAAAACCUGCAGCUUAACUGUGGGCUUGCGGUGGAUACGGGCAGACUUGAGUUCGGUAGGGGAGACUGGAAUUCCUGGUGUAGCGGUGAAAUGCGCAGAUAUCAGGAGGAACACCGGUGGCGAAGGCGGGUCUCUGGGCCGAUACUGACGCUGAGGAGCGAAAGCGUGGGGAGCGAACAGG